GAUUUAAGGUAGUCUGGGCAAAAUGUAAGUGAACACAGUCAUUUAAACUGGGGUACCUUAAAUCUGACGAGUUUCUGACUAAAGACGAAAUCCAGCUUCCUGUUGCAGGCCCCCGAUCUCCGACAGCUAGAUUGUAAUGGGAGCACUGAUGCUUACUAUGCAAUGGUGGUGAGAUUAUUAGCAUGUUGAUGGCCACUGUCUAUUUUAACUCAAUGGAAAUUAACGUAAGCCACCAGAAAACUGCAUGUUGAUUGGCCAGAGCAUGAUAAUCCCACCCACCAGGGAUCUGAGGCCUCACCCAUCACAUCACUUGGGCGUCAUGCCCAACUUGCACUCUGAUGCUUGUGUUAUUUUUGAGUUCGGUAUUUUCGUAGAACAUAAGUGUGCAACUUUCCUCUUGCAGUCCAAAAACAUGUAUUUGGAUUUAUUGGUUUCUUUGCUUUGCUGGUAGAAUACGAUUCUGUGUGUGAGUCUGUGCUCUUUGAUGGACUCUUAUCACGUCUGGGAAGCCCUCUGCCUCGUGGCCAGUGCGUGCUGGGAAGUACUCUGGGCUCCCCACAAUCCUACAAAGGAUACAUUUGAAAUGGAUGAAAGCUUUACAUUUGUUAGCACUCAGCAUUUGUUCAAUUUGGAGAGAGAUGAAAAACAAAGAUUUCUUUUCCUAAGAAACGGAGUCCAAUUCACCAAAUGCACAGCUUGACAGACAGAAUCUGAAAGCCCUGCUCUACAGGUUCUUUCAGCUGAGCCUGGAAGGGGACGCGCAUUGUCAUUGAGGCUCAGAAGCCGGGCUGCUUGCCUUCAGACUCCUAACUGCUCUACCUUUUUUGAGUCGCUGAUGUCUGGCUGGAAGAACGUGCCUUUGGAUCCCAAACGUCUCCUCAGGGCCACCUCAGCCGUCCCAUGAAUUUGUAAAAUUUUACCAUCAGCUAAUUUGAUUAAUAAAUUAAUUUGAUGAGGUACUGAUUAGUCAAGCAUGGUGUGAUAGUGGUCAAUGCAACAAUUACAUGGGUGCACUGGAUGGAUGCUGGACAUACUGGGUGACUUUAGCAGAGGUUUUGAAAUGGCCAAGCCGACACACUUCAACAGACGUGAUCGUUUAAACAUCGUUUGUUUUUUUGACUGCCUUAAACUAUUGCACAAUACUGCAUCUGGCAACCAUAAAGGGCAAGAAGUUGUUCCAGGCUGGUGUGAGAAAUUGACAGACAGUAGCCCAGAAGGGUGUGAUGCUGGAACUGUUGUUGAAGGCGCUUGGACCGAAUACUGACUUAGAAGGUUUGAAUACAAAAAAAAAAAAUGCAAAAACCAUGUUGACUUCAUUUUGUCACGUGGACAUAAAUUGAAAUCGUAGAGUGAUAUGUGUGUGAUUUUUUAAGGGGUCACUUUCGUCAUAUACAUAUAAAUUUCAGCCUGCUUUUUUAUUUAUACCUGCAGCUCUGCACUUUAGGACUCUGCUUCCAUGAUCACUUCCUGGGCCCAGCGCAGUGACAUCACUGUCAGGCCCAUGAGUAAGGCCCUUAAAGGGGUCCCGCCUGUCCCUCCUCUCGGACUCUCACUCACACAGCCUUCAUGUGAGAACUGUGCGAGAGAAAGCUUCAUGAUAUAAA